UCGAGCGUGACGUCAAGGCUUCUUGUACUUCGAGCUAAGACAGACACAGUGCUUAGGUCGUCUGCACAAAUGCGAUAAGAGCGUUUCCAAUCAAAAUCGAAUUAAAGUGCAAUGAACAAUAUGUUGGCUCACUCGUCGAACAAGUGCUAAAUAAAUGAAUUAGGUUAGAUGCGCAUCUGGGCGUAAAAUUGCGUUGAAGUUGAAGCAACUGAGACCCCGGUCGAGAUGUUCCUAUAAAAGCAAAUGUGUGUAGUCCACACGCUUGGCAUUUGCCUCUCAGCCUCAGUCGAUGGCACACCGGUCGUACCGGCUGGUACGUCCACCCGACAUAGCUGUUUACCGCAGCAAAACUGGAACCGUUGGAAAGAGGAGAUCGAGACGAGAGUGAACAAAAUUGACUACCCUACUAGCAAGAGAAUGUGAAUACCCCCGUUGAGGAAAUAUGAGAAGCAAGGCAGGAAGAAAACUUGGCUCAUUUUUCAAAAUGAGGCCGGGAAACAAACUCACAACUACAGUUGUAGCCAUUUGUUAAGCGGCCCAAAUUGGAUGUACUUUACAUAAUAAUCGCAUAUAUAUACUAAUGUUUCCAUACUACAUACAUAUAUAUAUAUAUAUAUAUAUAUAACCUAAUGGUAUUUUAACGAUGUUAAAUGUUGCUGUUGUUUGGGAUCGUAUUGUCACAAGAAUGUCCUCUUGUCAAAAUCGAUUAGCAUUUCAUAUUACUCGCAAUCUAUACUAUAUAUAUAUACAUAUAUAUACUUAACCAACUUAUUUACCAAUUGUUAUAAAUACGUAUGCCAUGCCUAUAAAGACAACAUACAAGAAGCACAUACAUAUGAUAAUAUAAUGACAUAUUUAAUCGUGCCCAUGUUAGGCACACAUAUCUAAUACUCUAUCAAUCUAUAAAGCCUAUACUCGUAAAUUGCAAAAUAAAAUUUAUUAACCCAUGUGUUGAGCAAGCGAAAGCCA